rnacentral:rRNA from 1 species
CGCGUAGGUGGUAGUGCAAGUCUGAGGUGGAAUCCCAGGGCUUAACCCUGGAACUGCCUUGGAAACUGCAUUACUUGAGUCAGUGAGGGGAGGGUAGAAUUCCUGGUGUAGCGGUGAAAUGCGUAGAUAUCAGGAGGAAGGCCGGUGGCGAAGGCGGCCCUCUGGCGCUGAACUGACACUGAGGCGCGAAAGCGUGGGGAGCAAACAGGAUUAGAUACCCUGGUAGUCCACGCCCUAAACGGUGGGUACUAGGUGUAGGGCUCGUAAGGGUUCUGUGCCGAAGCGAAAGCAUUAAGUACCCGCCUGGGGAGUACGGCCGCAAGGUUGAA